rnacentral:rRNA from 1 species
GACGAACGCUGGCGGCGUGCUUAACACAUGCAAGUCGAACGGAAAGGCCCUGCUUUUGUGGGGUGCUCGAGUGGCGAACGGGUGAGUAACACGUGAGUAACCUGCCCUUGACUUUGGGAUAACUUCAGGAAACUGGGGCUAAUACCGGAUAGGAGCUCCUGCUGCAUGGUGGGGGUUGGAAAGUUUCGGCGGUUGGGGAUGGACUCGCGGCUUAUCAGCUUGUUGGUGGGGUAGUGGCUUACCAAGGCUUUGACGGGUAGCCGGCCUGAGAGGGUGACCGGCCACAUUGGGGCUGAGGUGCGGCCCAAGCUCCUCCGGGAGGCAGCAGUGGGGAAUAUUGCACAAUGGGCGGAAGCCUGAUGCAGCAAAGCCGCGUGCGGGAUGACGGCCUUCGGGUUGUAAACCGCUUUCGCCUGUGACGAAGCGUGAGUGGCGGUAAUGGGUAAAGGAGCACCGGCUAACUACGUG